UUUUUCUACAAUCCUGCACCUUUGUUACAAAAAGUGUGUAAACAGAGAGGGCCCAGAGAGUUUAAUUGUACCCAUCUGGGCAGUUACAAGUAGCAUGCUCCACAGACAGUCACAUGGACAAUGAAUUUGUGCCUAGAAGAAGGUGGCACCAUUCUACAUGUCCAAGUCACUGAAGCUGCUUUGCUUGUGUGUUUGUGCUGUAAAUAGAUUAGUGUUAUCUUCUUUUUUCCUCCUCCUCCUC
rnacentral:lncRNA from 1 species